GACCUGCACGGGCUAUAUCAGUAGGAAGACUGACUAAGUUCUUCCUGGUGGAAUGGGUUCCUUCCUGCUUGGUGUAUACGUUGAGUAUGUGAUCCCUCAAUUUGUAGCAAGAAGAUAACAUCUCUAACAUCAUUGACUUCUUCUGCAUAUCUAACAGAAGCUCUAAGAAGAAUGGAAGAGAAACAGAACACAUCUGGAAGAACAAUCUGUUACCUCUGGACAAACCUCCAGCUGUGCUCCCCACCUUCCUUCCUAUUCAACUACUGAUGUCUGCCAUUCUAUCUUUUACACUUAAACCCUCCCCUUGGUAAGCUUCAAUUGCGCCUCAGUUAUCAGUCACUGUAAUCUCAGUGAAUGUGAGUUUCAUGGAAGCUCACAGCUGAGAGCAGGUUUGAUAUAUGGUAGGAUACAGAUAAAUCAGGGUUGGGAGAAAGAUGAAGGAUAGCAGGCUACAGGAGGCUGCCAGGGUAUGGCAUGGGGAUCUUGAGUACCUUGUCAGGAAGAUGCCUUUAUUCAGAGUAGGAUUCCUGGAAUGGCCUAGUAGAAGUAGAAGUGGGCUGAAGAAAAGCUUUUAUGUUUUGCGCUUAUGUAGAUUUUGUGUUGUGGUGGACCUUUUUAGAUAGAGUAGAUGGUGGUGGGCUAAAGUGCUGAUGUAGGUAAGUUUGGACGUCUCUAUGCAUGUGCUGAGGACUUCUAAGCUGGAGGUAUUAAGGGUGAAAGAAACCACUCCUCUAGUCUGCGAAUGCUAAGGUCCUCUUUUAUGCCUUAACAGAUUCAGUGGCAGUUUACUCAUGCUCAUGUCUAGCAACUCCAAAGAUCGUCCUGGGAAAAGCUUUCACCCUGACUUACAGUAUACCUAACCAUUACUUAGAAGCUUAGGUUGUGUAUUUUUAAUGUGGGAAAACAAGAAGGAAUCUGAGCUUUCAUAGUAAAACAUCUACUACUCAUAAACCUGUGUGGUAUACAAAUCAUGUUGCUCUCGUCUAUUAAUAUAUAGAAGGCAAGUGUAUUAGUUACACGGAUUAGUGUUGUUAUUAUAAUGCUGCAUAAUAAACAAAACAUCUCUGUAGUAUACAACAAUAAGCAUUUAUUCAGCUUAUACUCUGGAGUUCCCCUAGUCUAGUCGUGGCAUGACGUCUGUCAAAAGCUCUGCUAAGACUUGAUGUUUAGAUUACAGUGAUAUGCUAAGUUUUUGUUCCUUUAUACCAUUAAAUGAAGCCGAAUCACCAGAAAAAUCCAGUCCUCAUUCCUUGUUAUUCGUUGUGAAAGUCAGUAGAUCAGUGUGCAAAUGGCCUAGUGGAGCUGACCAUCAAGGCCAACUCCUCCCUCUCACCUAGGCGCUGUUUUACUGGCAGUUCUGGACACACCCUUAGGGAGCUGUCUUCCUACCUAGCUGGACCACUUUUAUAGUUCAGAUCAGAUCUGUUCCCUCUGAUGUUUCUUCCCCUCUGACAGAAAGUGGUAGCCCUACCCUCUUCAAAAUUCUUGGUUCUUCAUUUCCUGUACCCCUUCAGCCUAAUAAUUCUUUUUCCGUUAGUGCUAUUUCUGAAUCUCUUAGAGGAGGGGUUGGUAAACUAUGAUUAGUGGACAAAAUAAUCUUCUUAACUCAGCAAUUAAAAAAAUAAUUAAAAGG
rnacentral:lncRNA from 1 species